AAGCUAUCCAUUCGAAGCAGAAAGAGCAGUUAACAAUGGCUUCAAACGCCUCAAUUUUCACCAGCAAUUCUCUCUUAUCAUUACGGGUCGUGGGGUUUCCCCGAUUACCCAUUUCACAACUCCAUACCCGAACCCGAAUACAGCCAAACCCACUUCAUACAACCCGACUCGAACUGUCUUCUUCUUCUUCAUCUGUCAGUGCCUCAACUAAUGGAUUGAAAAGUUUGUAUCUUUCUGAUGUUUGGGCUAGACGCUUCGUUACUAGCAGUAAUUUUCAGAUGUCAGCGGUUUCAGGCGACGGUGGUGGUGGGAAUGGAGGUUCCGGUGAUGGAAAUUCAGGUGGUGGUGACAAUGGAAGUAACAGUGGUGGUGGUGAGGGUGGGAAGAACUGGUCAUUGCUUGCCUGGUACUUAUCUCUUCUUGAGAAGUAUCCAGUAUGGACAAAAGCAGUUACAUCUGCAUUGUUGACACUUUUUGGAGAUCUAAUCUGUCAGCUGUGGAUUGACCAAGUAGCAUCUGUGGAUGUAAAGAGGACGCUUCUGUUCACAUUCUUGGGGUUGGUUUUGGUGGGUCCAACUUUGCACUUUUGGUACCUCUACCUGAGUAGAUUGGUCACAACUCCAGGGGUCGCUGGUACUCUCAUGCGUCUUGUACUAGAUCAGUUCCUUUUUGCUCCAAUUUUUGUCGGUGUUUUCUUAUCCUCUUUGGUAACACUUGAGGGAAGAUCAUCACAAGUGAUUCCAAAGCUUCAACAGGAGUGGUUCUCAUCUGUCCUUGCAAAUUGGCAACUUUGGAUACCUUUUCAAUUUUUCAACUUCCGGUUUGUGCCUCAGCAAUUUCAGGUCCUUGCUGCUAACUUCAUCGCUUUAGUGUGGAAUGUCAUACUGUCAUAUAAAGCCCACAAAGAAGUUAUUGUAAAAUAGGUUGUGGAAGCAGAAUUUAAAAUUUCAAUGUAUUGCCAAGGAUGCGAAAAACAAAUUGCCAAAAUCAUAUCCAAAAUCAAAGGGGUUGAAGAAUUCAUGACGGAUAUGAAUAAUCAUAAAGUGGUAGUAAAGGGUCGAAUGAAUGCAAAUAAAGUGUUGAAGAAACUUAAGAAGAAAACAGGGAAGAAAGUGGAAAUGGUGAUUAAAGAAGAAGAGAGUAAGAAAAAAAGUGAAGAAAAAGAAGGGGAUUUACAAUUGAUGAAACAAAAUCCA